rnacentral:tRNA from 1 species
UCCUCAAUAGUCUAGGCGGUUAUGAUAUGUGGUUUUCACCCACAAGACCCGGGUUCGAGUCCCGGUUGAGGAA